rnacentral:lncRNA from 1 species
UUCUUUUUUUUUUGUUCGCCGGGAUGCCCAUUUUUGCCUGGACUCUUUUAUUCUUUUCGUCCAGCGGGUCUCUUUUACGAAGUAUCUUUUAACUGCGUCCGCAUCUGCAGGGGAUGGAAAAUCCUCGCCACUCAUGGUUGUCAGCAACAAGGCUCUGUCGGAGAAAACCUUCUUGACCAUGCUGGGGAUUCAUGAUUGGGCGUCCACUUGCCCCUACGAUCGUUGAGGAGGAAGGAUCCUUUUC